rnacentral:sRNA from 1 species
GCCGGGCGUGGUGGUGGGCGCCUGUAAUCCCAGCUACUCGGGAGGCUGAGGCAGGAGAAUGGCAUGAACCUAGGAGGUGGAGCUUGCAGUGAGCCGAGAUCAAGCCUAGGCGACAGAACAAGAAUCCGUCUCAAAAAAAAAAAAAUUCUAUUUGUAAAUAUUACAUAUUAUUAGGAGGAUUACUUGAGCCCAUGAGUUUGAGGCAGUAUUACGCUAUGGCUGCGCCUGUGAAUAGUCACUGCACUCCAGCCUGGGCAACACAGCAAGACCCUGUCUCU